UGGACCCGAACCUGGAUGAAGCUUGGAUUAAACUAAAUGGAGGUUCGAACCGAUUGAUGUUGAAAAAUUAGCAGAUGAGUUGUGGUUAGGGGUAAAAUGCCCCUCGA
rnacentral:ncRNA from 1 species